rnacentral:tRNA from 1 species
CGGUCUCGAGAGUCAGGGUGGGUUCGUUCUCCUCGGCCGAGACGAUCUGGCGGAUCUUGUCCGCCGGGAUCAGC